CCACAAAAUUAAAAAAAAAAAAAAUACUUUUUGUAUUAUCCAUGCAAAAGUUUAUUUUUUUUUUUUAAUUUUG